GAUGAAGAACGCAGCGAAAUGCGAUAAGUAAUGUGAAUUGCAGAAUUCAGUGAAUCAUCGAAUCUUUGAACGCACAUUGCGCCCGCCAGUAUUCUGGCGGGCAUGCCUGUUCGAGCGUCAUUUCAACCAUCAAGCCCCCGGCUUGUGUUGGGGACCUGCGGCUGCCGCAGGCCCUGAAAACCAGUGGCGGGCUCGCUAGUCACUCCGAGCGUAGUAAUACAUCUCGCUCAGGGCGUGCUGCGGGUUCCGGCCGUUAAAAAAGCCUUAUUUACCCAAGGUUGACCUCGGAUCAGGUAGGAAUACCCGCUGAACUUAAGCAUAUCAAUAAGCGGAGGA
rnacentral:misc_RNA from 1 species